AAACUUUCAACAACGGAUCUCUUGGUUCUCGCAUCGAUGAAGAACGCAGCGAAAUGCGAUACGUAAUGUGAAUUGCAGAAUUCCGUGAAUCAUCGAAUCUUUGAACGCACAUUGCGUCCCUUGGUAUUCCAGGGGACAUGCCUGUUUGAGCGUCAUUU
rnacentral:rRNA from 1 species